UGCACGGGCGGGGGGCGCACGGAGAAGUCCCUGCUGACAAGAAGCGCAGAUCGCAAAGCUCGAGGCCCAAGCCUUUCAGCAGGGGGAACGGAGGAGGAGGUCGUGUUGGUGUCUACAGCUGAGGAGCAUCUAAGGACAUUUUUUUAUCUGUCAAAGUUCUGGGGCCACCCCCUCAGUGCAUCGUUGUGGAGGUUUGUAAUGAAGUGUGCCAGGCUCUCAGGAGGGACUGCGCCGAGGAGGUAGCCUGAGGAGUGCUGACUGAGCCUGCUUGAGACCUGUAGCUCUAUCUGAUUUUUACUGCCAGAUACCUACCGCUCCACCGGGUGGAUAUACCACAUUUUCGUUUUUCCAUUCUCUUCUUGACGGACGGUUAGGUAGUUUCCACCUUUGAGCUCCUGCAAACGCUGUUACUGUGAAAAUCAUGAUACACACAAGACUUUCACGCACAUAUCCACAACUUUGGACCUCAGUGUUGGUUUUGUCAUUCAGGACUUUGAUGAGAAGCUUCAGUAACCCAACCAUGCUUUGCCCCUUUGAGUUUUACUUUACUUUCUGUAAAAUGGACAUGAUAACAGUACUGCAUAAAGUCCUAAGAAUUAAGAACAUGAAUGGAAAGCACUCAACACAGUGUCUUACACGUGGCGUGGCGGGCGUCAAUACCUGGGGGCUUUUUCUGUCUUGCGGAGACAGGAAAUUCAAAUGGUUAAAAGGUCUUUGGAGUCUUAACAACUGGGUGGGAAGGCCGGCUCUGCUGUCACUUCCCCCCGGGCUGGGCUGCCCGUGGGAAAGGCAACUCACUCUUCUGAGCUUCCGUUUCUUAACCUGUUAGAAGAAAGCAAAUGAAUGCAGUUGUGAGUAUCCGUUCUCCAAACAGGAAUCUGUCUGGGUCGCGAUCGGGCUGGAGUUGUAUAGCAGAAUAAUAACAGCUGCCGUUCCCUAUUGUGAAUAAAACUGGGCCAAUCUGUAUUGUUUCUGAACUCCUAGUAGGGACCCGUAUUAUUCUUGUCCAGCAACAUCUUAUAUGGAACCCCAGCAUAUAAAGCAAAUGAAGUUGGAACUACCACAGUUAAAGCGGGGGUAAUAUCAUAGGUGUGUGCGGGUUUAAUCCUGGCUCUGCCGGGUACUGGCUGUGUGAGCCUAAACAAAUUAUCUCUCUGAGAUUCAGUUUCUUCAUUUGUAAGAUGGGGAAAUGAUGCCAACCUAAUAGCGUUGUUAUGUGGCUCAACUGAGGUAAUAUAUGCAAAGCAUAUAUUGGCAUAAAGCCUGGCUUGUGAUAAGAACCGAGUAAGGGUGGCUGUUGCUGUUGUGGCUGUGGCUGUGACCACCUUCGCUGACCACAGGGUGGAGUGGAGAUCUCCCAGCCUUGCAUCGGUGCCCUCCAUCGUCUCGCCCAACCUGCAUUUCUAGUCUUCAACACCUACACUGCAGCCAAGUUGAAUUACAACGUCCCGUCUAGGAUCCAGCACUGCUGGGUCUGGGCGUAUGCUCUGCCCGCUGGGGGGACCAUCCUCUGUCCUCUCCCUGGCUCCAAGAGUACGAACGUAUGCUUUUUAAAACUUUUAUCAUGGAAAUUUUCAGAAUGUACAGAAGUUAGAAAAGCUAGUAUAAUGAACCCUCACGUAGUCACCACUCAGCUCCAGGUGUUACCGACCUUGUUUCCUGUAUGCACCCCAACAUCCUCGCCCCACUAGAUUAGAUCCCAAGCAGUUUAUCAUGUCACCUGUAAAUUCAUCAUUAUGUAUCUCUAAGGGAAAGAUGCUUUUUAAAAAACAUAACUACAGAGGCGCCCGGGUGGCUCAGUCAGUUUAGCGCCCAACUUCGGCUCAGGUCAUGAUCUCACGGUUUGUGAGUUGGAGCCCCACAUCAGGCUCUGUGC